rnacentral:rRNA from 1 species
UACGAAGGGGGCUAGCGUUGCUCGGAAUCACUGGGCGUAAAGCGCACGUAGGCGGCUUUUUAAGUCAGGGGUGAAAUCCUGGAGCUCAACUCCAGAACUGCCUUUGAUACUGGGAAGCUUGAGUCCGGGAGAGGUGAGUGGAACUCCGAGUGUAGAGGUGAAAUGCGCAGAUAUCAGGAAGAACACCAAUGGCGAAAGCAGCUUUCUGGGACGGUACUGACGCUGAGACGCGAAAGCGUGGGGAGCGAACAGG